rnacentral:lncRNA from 1 species
CAGUUCCCUCCAGCUGGUCCUCAGAUGGGCACAUCUAUUAGCCUCUGCUCUUGUAAGAAGUUAGCUGCAGAACCCACAUGUGAAUCCUUGUAGGACUCUGGAGAAGAUCAAAUGGGAGCUUAGAUGUGGAAGCUCUUUGGAAACCAAGAAACACUCUGCAAAUGAAAAGGGUGGAAGAGUAAACUGUUCCUGUUUCUCCAUCUUGACAGGAAGCAGAAGUUCUCCUUAGCUGAUUUUUCUUCUUGCCUUAUACUGGGUUCUUUAACACCAGAACAAAAAUAAAUAAAUAAAAGAAUCUUCCAGAAAUUCAUGAAGAGACUUCAGGUCAGGAAAGCCUGAACUUUCUCAUCCAACACCUGUUCAAGUCGGAGGAUGCUGAUUAAUUCAUGAUGGAAAGGUAUCAAUUUCACAGCCCAGACCUCUACAUUCUUGAAAUGCUCUUCUCAUGGGAGACAUUAAAUAAGCUUUGAAUUAACUGAGACCUCUGUGGAUUCUAUAACUCAAAGACCCAGGCUGACGGCUGGUGGAAUAGCUACCAUCUCAAACAUGGCGUGAUGCUGCAUCAGAGAGAAAAAUAAGCUCUUGCAUUGACAAUGAAAUGUCUACCCUGUAGUGACUUGUGCUUACUUCCACUCACAAGUGAUUGCCCAGAGCUACUUACCUGGCUCCAAUCUACCACUGGGUGUGUACUUGCAAUCUACCAUGUACCUAGAAGAUGAGAGAAACAAAUUAUUAAUGAUGACCACACCCCAAGACUAACAACAAGUUGCAGAAGAAUCAAUGACUUAAACAAAAA